GUUGACUUGGGAACAACGGUUCUAAUAAAGGAGAGGGAGGCUUUCGACUGUGCUACUUUUCGUAACAUUAACAACCGCCAAGCGAACAGAUCGGAUUACAUCCCACUAAUGAACGGAAAUACUAUUAUCUGGCAAAACUUUAAGUAUCUCAGACACUCAUCGAACUUGACCAUGUGCUCGGAAAUAGCCGAGACAUACAAGAAGUAUUAAGUUCCUAGGAACCGCUUUGAAAGUAGUUGCUGGAACCCCUGAUUUUGAGGAUUAUGAAAAAAUAAAAUUCAAUCAAUAAAGGUUAAUCGAAUCAAUAGACAGUCAAACAGUUAUAAACACUCAAGUACAGGAAAAAAUUAAAAAAAUUAACCGAAACUGAAAACAAUAUUGUCAAGGUAGCCAAAGAGAAACAAAUCGAAACGGACUACCUCUAUGAGACACUACUCGUACCGGAUAGAUUCUAAUCUCAGAACUCGAGACAUUAAUGUUUGCCAGGUACACUUGCAAAGCUCUAAA